UACGGAGGGGGCAAGCGUUAUUCGGAAUUAUUGGGCGUAAAGGGCGCGUAGGCGGCUAGAUGUGUCAAAGGUGAAAUCCCUCGGCUCAACUGAGGAACUGCCUUUAAAACUGCAUCGCUUGAAUCCAGGAGAGGUGAGUGGAAUUCCGAGUGUAGAGGUGAAAUUCGUAGAUAUUCGGAAGAACACCAGUGGCGAAGGCGGCUCACUGGACUGGUAUUGACGCUGAGGUGCGAAAGCGUGGGGAGCAAACAGG
rnacentral:rRNA from 1 species